CCUUCUAUCUACUUCUCCAAAAGAUCUGCACAACAAACCUGGAUAUAUGCAUGCUUCCUUUAAUUUUUUAUUUGAUGUUCAUAGCAUAGGUGCUAUUGCUAAUACUAUACUCCUUUUUGUCUUGAUGUAGUAUUACCAACAGGAAUCGGCAAAGCUGAGGCACAAAAUUUAAAUGCUGCAGAAUUCUAACAGGCACUUAAUGGGAGAUUCGUUGACUAAGACAGUGAAAGAACUAAAGCAGCUAGAGAACAGGCUUGAACCAGGCCUUACUAGAAUCAGGUCCAGGAAGGAGGUUAUGCUGGGGAAAACGAGAAUGUUUUAAUUCGAG